rnacentral:rRNA from 1 species
UACGUAGGGUGCAAGCGUUAUCCGGAAUUAUUGGGCGUAAAGAGCGUGUAGGCGGUCAGGUAGGUCGGUUGUGAAAACUGGAGGCUCAACCUUCAGAGGUCGACCGAAACCCCCUGGCUAGAGUCCGGGAGAGGAGAGUGGAAUUCCUGGUGUAGCGGUGAAAUGCGCAGAUAUCAGGAAGAACACUCGUGGCGAAAGCGGCUCUCUGGAACGGUACUGACGCUGAGACGCGAAAGCGUGGGGAGCGAACAGG